rnacentral:tRNA from 1 species
GCACCAUCACUACUUGGCCUUUCACUUUUGAUUAGUAAGUUGAACUGUGUGAGUUCAAGGCUUCUAGAGAUGAAGAGUUGUAAGCAUAAGAAAGCAAACACUCGGGGUUGGGGAUUUAGCUCAGUGGUAGAGCGCUUGCCUAGCAAGCACAAGGCCCUGGGUUCGGUCCCCAGCUCCAAAAAAAAAAAAUUGGCUAAAAAAAAAAAAGAAAGCAAACACUCUAGGAGUUCAGAAAUGUUCACUAGAAACUACCUCAAGUGCUCUUUUCCUCUGUGCUCUAUUUUUAAAAGAUUUUACUUAUAUUUGAAUGUCUGUACACUACCUUCUGUGCUAGAAGAGGGUGCUGGAACCCCUGGAACUAGAGGUACAGAUUGGUGGACUGCCAUGUGGGUGCUGGGGACCCAAACUGGGUGUUCUGUAAGAACAGCAGGAGCUUUUAACUGAAGCAGCCCCUGCAGCCCCAUGUUUGUGUUCUUAUUGAUAAGGUAUGGGGUGUUUCUGAUUGGCAUUGGUAAUGUGAACAAGGGCAGUGGUCUUUGAAGAAAAAUCAUUUUUUUUUACGACAUGCUGUGGUUUGUUUUAUGUGUGUGUUUUUGAAAUGGUAGUGUUGGGAAUCAAGCUUCCCACCUUGCUAACUUGGGAGCCUGCUGCUUUGCGUUGAGAGCAGCCAGUUUGGAGAAACUGAACAGAAGAGCUGAAAUGUAUUCGGUGAAAAACAUUUUACAUAAAGUAUUUCUUUCAAAAAAUGUAUUUUUGCGUUUGUUUAAAGACUUUAUGUGUACAGGUGUUUUGCCUGCGUGUACAUCUGUGUAUGCAGUACUCACAGAGGACAGAAGAGGACAUCAGAUCCCUGGAACUGGGAGAUCAAACAAACCUUCUAUUGAGCUCUGGUAGACAGCCAGUGCUCUCACUGCCGAGCUCUAACUACAUCUCUCCCGCCCCUGAGAAAAAGAGCUUUGAUCUGGAUAAUUAAAGUCACAACACAAUCUGCUAGGCACUCCUGUGAGGACUUUGAUGGUUUGAAGUGGGAAGACCCACCAUGGCAACCCAUAGCAAAGGAAGGAUGUGGAAGAAGGAAACUUUUCUUCUUGCUUUCACUUCUGGCAAGUUCGUCUGUCGUAUUGCUGCAGCAUUAGACCAGAGCUCUCCAGGAGUCCUCUCGUGCCCCAGGUCGGACUGCCGAGACUUCGUGCCUCAUGAACUGAACAGCCAGGGUUUUGGCCUCUGAUGCCAGACAGUUAGUGUUGGAAUGCCUGGACUAUAAUGUAAGCCAAUCUAAUAAGCCUCCUUAUGACAUUAAUUCCCUUUAUUCUGUUCCAUAAAGAACCAUAGUACAACCCUUGGAAUCCAUGGGAAGUCAUUAGAGGUUAAGAAUCUGUUAUGGCUUCAAAUGUGUCCUCCCCAGACAUCCAUGUUGUGAACGUAGCAGCCAG